GUUUCCGUAGGUGAACCUGCGGAAGGAUCAUUCAUAAUAAGUGUUUUACUGCACUUUUUAAAAAUAGUACUCACCUUGUGUGCAAUGGUGUGUUUCUUUUCGGAGAAACACCUACACCAACCUAUAACCUUGAACCACUUUGUCUGAAAAACUAUUAUGAAUACUUAAUUCAAAAUACAACUUUCAACAACGGAUCUCUUGGCUCUC
rnacentral:misc_RNA from 1 species